GCCCCACCCCCAGCACCUGGGCUUUUGAAAGAUUAGGCCUAGCAAAUGAACUGCAAUUAUGCAGUAAUAAUGAUUCCAUUUUCUCAUUUUUAUUAAUAAAACACAUAUGCGACGUGCCACUCAGAGCAUUCCGUGGAGAGAAAACGAGUUUCCCCACCAGGUGAAUAAAAUUUCACCCAGAGGCAGGCAACAAACCACCUUCUGGUCUGGGAAUCGUGGGCGCUGCACUUGACAGCCCAGUCGCUGGGCCUCUGCCGCUAAGCCAGCCGCCUGCCCUGAGUCUCCGAAGUUGGAGGAGACCAUUUCAGCUGCUCCCGGCUUGCCUUGCUGUCCCCGCUGGAAUCAGCAGACCCUGACUUUUGGAGAAGCGUUACUGCGAUGUGUCAGCUGCUCCGGGAGAGCCCAGAGUGAUGUAUUCCAAGACCUGUCAGGAGAAAGGGUUUAUGGAGUGACCAUCCUGUGGCUACAACUCUCAAGACUGUUGUUUUAGCAAAACCCUAAUGGAACUGGUGCCUGCUGCGUUCGUGGGCUGAGGCUGCAGCUGGACCCGCAUCUGGGCAGGGAGUGAACGGGGAAGUAACCCGUGUGACGAGGAAGCUGAGGAGGCCUCUACACGAGGAGAGGACUGGACGGCAGUUCUCCAGUGCGUUCCAGGCAUAGAGGCUGAGCUACUCACCACAGAGAGGAACUGCUUGAAAGCUGCCACCCAUCCUGUUUGGGCUCACAAACCUGUCCCUGUUCUGUCCUUCAGGCAGGUAUGUAGGUUAGGCCCAGUGAAGGUCAUUUACUCUGGGUGUGUGUUGUGUAAACUUCAGCUUUGAGCCUGGCUCAGUCAGAAACACGGGAUCCUCCAGGGUGCCCUAGAAGUCCUGGAGAAAGGGGUGAUACACCGAUAGCUCUGUAACC
ensembl:lncRNA